GAUGAACGCUGGCGGCGUGCCUAAUACAUGCAAGUCGAGCGAACAGACGAGGAGCUUGCUCCUCUGACGUUAGCGGCGGACGGGUGAGUAACACGUGGAUAACCUACCUAUAAGACUGGGAUAACUUCGGGAAACCGGAGCUAAUACCGGAUAAUAUAUUGAACCGCAUGGUUCAAUAGUGAAAGACGGUUUUGCUGUCACUUAUAGAUGGAUCCGCGCCGCAUUAGCUAGUUGGUAAGGUAACGGCUUACCAAGGCGACGAUGCGUAGCCGACCUGAGAGGGUGAUCGGCCACACUGGAACUGAGACACGGUCCAGACUCCUACGGGAGGCAGCAGUAGGGAAUCUGCCGCAAUGGGCGAAAGCUUGACGGAGCAACGCCGCGUGAGUGAUGAAGGUCUUCGGAUCGUAAAACUCUGUUAUUAGGGAAGAACAAAUGUGUAAGUAACUAUGCACGUCUUGACGGUACCUAAUCAGAAAGCCACGGCUAACUACGUG
rnacentral:rRNA from 1 species